AUCCGCUUGACGAGUCUCAAAUAGGACGAAACGCGUGUCCUGAAU
rnacentral:hammerhead_ribozyme from 1 species